UGCAAGUCGAACGAGAAAGUGGAGCAAUCCAUGAGUACAGUGGCGACCGGGUGAGUAACACGUGACCAACCUGCCCUCGAGUGGGGAAUAACUCCGGGAAACCGGAGCUAAUACCGCAUAACAUCGCAAGAUCAAAGCCGCAAGGCGCUUGAGGAGGGGGUCGCGGCUGAUUAGCUAGUUGGUAGGGUAAUGGCCUACCAAGGCGAAGAUCGGUAGCCGGCCUGAGAGGGCGCACGGCCACACUGGAACUGAAACACGGUCCAGACUCCUACGGGAGGCAGCAGUGGGGAAUUUUGCGCAAUGGGGGAAACCCUGACGCAGCAACGCCGCGUGGAGGAUGAAGUCCCUUGGGACGUAAACUCCUUUCGACCGGGACGAUACUGACGGUACCGGGAGAAGAAGCACCGGCUAACUCUGUGCCAGCAGCCGCGGUAAUACAGAGGGUGCGAGCGUUGUUCGGAAUUAUUGGGCGUAAAGGGCGCGUANGCGGCGCGGUAAGUCACCUGUGAAAUCUCCUGGCUCAACUGGGAGCUUGCAGGCGAAACUGCCGUGCUG
rnacentral:rRNA from 1 species